rnacentral:rRNA from 1 species
AGAGUUUGAUCAUGGCUCAGAAUCAACGCUGGCGGCGUGCCUAACACAUGCAAGUCGAACGAGAAAGUGGAGCAAUCCAUGAGUAAAGUGGCGCACGGGUGAGUAACACGUGACUAACCUACCCUUGAGUGGGGAAUAACUUCGGGAAACCGAGGCUAAUACCGCAUAACACCUACGGGUCAAAGGAGCAAUUCGCUUAAGGAGGGGGUCGCGGCAGAUUAGUUAGUUGGCGGGGUAAUGGCCCACCAAGACGGUGAUCUGUAUCCGGCCUGAGAGGGCGCACGGACACACUGGAACUGAAACACGGUCCAGACUCCUACGGGAGGCAGCAGUGGGGAAUUUUGCGCAAUGGGGGAAACCCUGACGCAGCAACGCCGCGUGGAGGAUGAAGUCCCUUGGGACGUAAACUCCUUUCGAUCGGGACGAUUAUGACGGUACCGGAAGAAGAAGCCCCGGCUAACUUCGUGCCAGCAGCCGCGGUAAUACGAGGGGGGCGAGCGUUGUUCGGAAUUAUUGGGCGUAAAGGGCGCGUAGGCGGUCGGAUAAGUCUUGUGUGAAAUCUCCGGGCUCAACUCGGAGUCUGCACGAGAAACUAUCUGGCUUGAGUGUGGGAGAGGUGAGUGGAAUUCCUGGUGUAGCGGUGAAAUGCGUAGAUAUCAGGAGGAACACCUGUGGCGAAAGCGGCUCACUGGACCACAACUGACGCUGAGGCGCGAAAGCUAGGGGAGCAAACAGGAUUAGAUACCCUAGUAGUCC